GGGUUGUGAGGUUAAGCGACUAAGCGUACACGGUGGAUGCCCUGGCAGUCAGAGGCGAUGAAGGACGUGCUAAUCUGCGAAAAGCGUCGGUAAGGUGAUAUGAACCGUUAUAGCCGGCGAUGUCCGAAUGGGGAAACCCAGUGCAAUUCGUUGCACUAUCGUUAACUGAAUACAUAGGUUAACGAGGCGAACCGGGGGAACUGAAACAUCUAAGUACCCCGAGGAAAAGAAAUCAACCGAGAUUCCCCCAGUAGCGGCGAGCGAACGGGGAGCAGCCCAGAGUCUGAAUCAGCUUGUGUGUUAGUGGAACGGUCUGGAAAGUCCGACGGUACAGGGUGAUAGUCCCGUACACCAAAAUGCACAGGUUGUGAACUCGAAGAGUAGGGCGGGACACGUGGUAUCCUGUCUGAAUAUGGGGGGACCAUCCUCCAAGGCUAAAUACUCCUGACUGACCGAUAGUGAACCAGUACCGUGAGGGAAAGGCGAAAAGAACCCCUGCGAGGGGAGUGAAAAAGAACCUGAAACCGUGUACGUACAAGCAGUGGGAGCACCUUCGGGUGUGACUGCGUACCUUUUGUAUAAUGGGUCAGCGACUUAUAUUCUGUAGCAAGGUUAACCGUAUAGGGGAGCCGCAGGGAAACCGAGUCUUAACUGGGCGUUAAGUUGCAGGGUAUAGACCCGAAACCCGGUGAUCUAGCCAUGGGCAGGUUGAAGGUUGGGUAACACUAACUGGAGGACCGAACCGACUAAUGUUGAAAAAUUAGCGGAUGACUUGUGGCUGGGGUGAAAGGCCAAUCAAACCGGGAGAUAGCUGGUUCUCCCCGAAAGCUAUUUAGGUAGCGCCUCGUGAACUCAUCUUCGGGGGUAGAGCACUGUUUCGGCUAGGGGGUCAUCCCGACUUACCAACCCGAUGCAAACUACGAAUACCGAAGAAUGUUAUCACGGGAGACACACGGCGGGUGCUAACGUCCGUCGUGAAGAGGGAAACAACCCAGACCGCCAGCUAAGGUCCCAAAGUCAUGGUUAAGUGGGAAACGAUGUGGGAAGGCACAGACAGCCGGGAUGUUGGCUUAGAAGCAGCCAUCAUUUAAAGAAAGCGUAAUAGCUCACUGGUCGAGUCGGCCUGCGCGGAAGAUGUAACGGGGCUAAACCAUGCACCGAAGCUGCGGCAGCGACACUAUGUGUUGUUGGGUAGGGGAGCGUUCUGUAAGCCUGCGAAGGUGUGCUGUGAGGCAUGCUGGAGGUAUCAGAAGUGCGAAUGCUGACAUAAGUAACGAUAAAGCGGGUGAAAAGCCCGCUCGCCGGAAGACCAAGGGUUCCUGUCCAACGUUAAUCGGGGCAGGGUGAGUCGACCCCUAAGGCGAGGCCGAAAGGCGUAGUCGAUGGGAAACAGGUUAAUAUUCCUGUACUUGGUGUUACUGCGAAGGGGGGACGGAGAAGGCUAUGUUAGCCGGGCGACGGUUGUCCCGGUUUAAGCAUGUAGGCUGGUUAUCGGGCAAAUCCGGAUAAUCAAGGCUGAGGUGUGAUGACGAGGCACUACGGUGCUGAAGUAACAAAUGCCCUGCUUCAAGGAAAAGCCUCUAAGCAUCAGGUAACAUCAAAUCGUACCCCAAACCGACACAGGUGGUCAGGUAGAGAAUACCAAGGCGCUUGAGAGAACUCGGGUGAAGGAACUAGGCAAAAUGGUGCCGUAACUUCGGGAGAAGGCACGCUGGUGUGUAGGUGAAGUCCCUGCGGAUGGAGCUGAGACCAGUCGAAGAUACCAGCUGGCUGCAACUGUUUAUUAAAAACACAGCACUGUGCAAACACGAAAGUGGACGUAUACGGUGUGACGCCUGCCCGGUGCCGGAAGGUUAAUUGAUGGGGUUAUCCGUAAGGAGAAGCUCUUGAUCGAAGCCCCGGUAAACGGCGGCCGUAACUAUAACGGUCCUAAGGUAGCGAAAUUCCUUGUCGGGUAAGUUCCGACCUGCACGAAUGGCGUAAUGAUGGCCAGGCUGUCUCCACCCGAGACUCAGUGAAAUUGAACUCGCUGUGAAGAUGCAGUGUACCCGCGGCAAGACGGAAAGACCCCGUGAACCUUUACUAUAGCUUGACACUGAACAUUGAGCCUUGAUGUGUAGGAUAGGUGGGAGGCUUUGAAGCGUGGACGCCAGUCUGCGUGGAGCCAACCUUGAAAUACCACCCUUUAAUGUUUGAUGUUCUAACGUUGGCCCCUGACCGGGGUUGCGGACAGUGUCUGGUGGGUAGUUUGACUGGGGCGGUCUCCUCCCAAAGCGUAACGGAGGAGCACGAAGGUUAGCUAAUCUGGUCGGACAUCAGGAGGUUAGUGCAAUGGCAUAAGCUAGCUUGACUGCGAGCGUGACGGCGCGAGCAGGUGCGAAAGCAGGUCAUAGUGAUCCGGUGGUUCUGAAUGGAAGGGCCAUCGCUCAACGGAUAAAAGGUACUCCGGGGAUAACAGGCUGAUACCGCCCAAGAGUUCAUAUCGACGGCGGUGUUUGGCACCUCGAUGUCGGCUCAUCACAUCCUGGGGCUGAAGUAGGUCCCAAGGGUAUGGCUGUUCGCCAUUUAAAGUGGUACGCGAGCUGGGUUUAGAACGUCGUGAGACAGUUCGGUCCCUAUCUGCCGUGGGCGCUGGAGAAUUGAGGGGGGCUGCUCCUAGUACGAGAGGACCGGAGUGGACGCAUCACUGGUGUUCGGGUUGUCAUGCCAAUGGCACUGCCCGGUAGCUAAAUGCGGAAGAGAUAAGUGCUGAAAGCAUCUAAGCACGAAACUUGCCCCGAGAUGAGUUCUCCCUGAGACUUUAAGUCUCCUGAAGGAACGUUAAAGACGAUGACGUUGAUAGGCCGGGUGUGUAAGCGCAGCGAUGCGUUGAGCUAACCGGUACUAAUGAACCGUGAGGCUUAACCUUACAACGCCGAAG
rnacentral:rRNA from 1 species